ACCCUCUUAGGGUCACAAUUGGAGAGUUUCCAGUACUCUACCAGUCUCAACUACGGGAGGGACAGUCAAGCAGCGGCACAUCCAUUCCAUUCCUAGCUUAGGCAGUGGCUAGCGAGUGGAAGGCAAUCUGCUACAAGU